UAGGGAAUCUUCCGCAAUGGACGCAAGUCUGACGGAGCAACGCCGCGUGAGUGAAGAAGGAUUUCGGUUCGUAAAACUCUGUUGUUAGAGAAGAACAGCGCAUAGAGUAACUGUUAUGCGUGUGACGGUAUCUAACCAGAAAGCCACGGCUAACUACGUGCCAGCAGCCGCGGUAAUACGUAGUUGGCAAGCGUUGUCCGGAUUUAUUGGGCGUAAAGCGAGCGCAGGCGGUCAAUUAAGUCUGAUGUGAAAGCCCCCGGCUCAACCGGGGAGGGUCAUUGGAAACUGGUUGACUUGAGUGCAGAAGAGGAGAGUGGAAUUCCAUGUGUAGCGGUGAAAUGCGUAGAUAUAUGGAGGAACACCAGUGGCGAAGGCGACUCUCUGGUCUGUAACUGACGCGGAGGCUCGAAAGCGUGGGUAGCAAACAGG
rnacentral:rRNA from 1 species